GGUGGCGGUAAUGCACCUAAAGUUGUUUGCCAACUGCCAGUAAAACUCAAGAAGAAGAAGGAGGCUAAUGUCAGCAGGCUACCCAAGGAAACUUCUUGCUUUACAAGAUACUGUCUUACACCAGUUUCCUACGGCCAAGGAUGCUGAUGUCAGAAAAUCCUUCAACAGUAGAAUCUGCGAGCUAAGACACCAGGUUCCAAAGGGUUUUCGACCAAAUAGUCAAUCAAGAAGAAAUCUUUCAAGCUGUUGCGAAGCCUGUUGCUGAUAAGUGAGUUUACCUUUGUUGUUCUGUUUUUUGUACAUAUUUAACUACAGAUGUGGCCUAUAAAAAUGUGCAUCACAGGGAAAAGAAUUGUGCGAGCACUUCCGGCAUUCUGCAGCAUUCAGCAGAAAGAGGAUUAACUCUCUGCCGGAGGAAAUACCAUACCUGUAGAUGGUGUGUUUCAUGUAGGCUGUACUGAUGACAGUAUGCUGCCCUCCAAAGGCUAAGUGCAGUAUCUACGCAAACACUGAAACUGAGAAAAAUGGCUUUAAAGUUUUUUACAUCAGCCAGUCAAACAUGUUACUGCAAUUUUGGCACACACAUUUCUCUGAAAUGGGACAAAAUUUAACCAGGAGACUUUGUCACAAGACACAACAGAUCUCACAAAGCCCAUUUUAACCCUUAACUCAAUUUUGACCAAAUGCGUAGUUACUGCGCUUUCGCUUUGUAGGGCAGUAUGGGUGAUUGACUUCAUGCUGCGCAAAUUGACGUCGCUCAUACUGUAUGACAUUGAAGUAACAUAACAUGACAGUGACACACGUCUGCACAGCUUUAAAAGUGUAUUUACAGGACAUUCACAAAUUCAGGAAACUGAGGAAAAACGCGGAUCCACCACUCCAGUAAAUGUACUGUGAGUGUGCGCUCCCACAGCAACGUGACGCUCUUGACAUCCAUUUAUCAGCGAGUAUAGCUCGUAUAUGUAUAACACACGCGUGAUCACUAAACCAAGUUUUAUUGUUUAAGUGAACAUAAACAGCUGGAUGUUUAUCAGUAUAUUGAUACUUAAAGCAGUCUGUCUUUGGUCUUAAAGUGACAGUAGCCUGCUGCUCUCUGUGUCAGAAAUGUUCAUUUCAUAACAAAUAUAUUUACAUUUAAUACAGUGCCUGAACAUUAAAACAAGAUUUUAGUUUGUAUUUCUCAUGUUCUGAAUAAAA